rnacentral:antisense_RNA from 1 species
AGUUACUCAUUUGGACUCACUGGGAGAAGUGAUUCACUAGAACUCUCAUUGGAAGAAAUGACAGGAAAGCUCCCUCCAAUAUCUCAAUUUCCACCCCACCCAGUACCUGGUUCUAUGAUUCCACACCCUCCUAAUCCAUCCUGCCCUCCUAAUCCAUCCCACUCUCGUAAGCCAUCCCAUUCUCAUGCCCGCAAAUCCCUCCCUCUUCUUCAAUCUGCCAAGCCCCUUCCUCCUCUCCAGAAGUAUGUGGAUUUUUCAGUUUUCUGCCCUAACUGUUAUCCCACUGUGGCUCAUACCUGCCCUCCCCACUACCCUACCCUAAUACUCUACCUGCCCUGCUCUUCUGCUGUUCAUUACAAACCAUCCAUUUGUCAAUGCCCUGCACCCAGAACUCUUUCUGGUAACUCCUUUAUUGAUCACCCUAGCCCUCCUCCUAGCCCUACUGGUCAAUGCUUAGGUCCCAGAACUCUUCCCUGUGAUUCCCUUAUCCAUUCCCCUAUUCCUCCUCCUAACCCUCCUUGCCAACUCUCUGGUCCCAGAACUCUUUUCUGUGACUCCACUGUCUGUCCCCCUACUCCUCCUCCUAGCCCUGCUUGCAAAUGCUGUCGUCCCAGAGCUGUUUCCUGGGACUCCUCUACCUAUGCCUCUACCCCUCCUCCUUAGCCCUACUUCUUUCUAGUACCCUUUACUCUAGUCCCCAGGCCCCAGCCCUGCCAUCCCCAACCAGACCUAACGGUUCACAAGUCUCAUCUUGGAGAUGGUUUCCCUGCUCCUCGGGCAGUUCUGGAACAGUUCAGGAUGGCCAGGACUGUGGAUUCCCAGCAGUCUGACCUGGUGGACAAAGGAAAUGCAAGACAAUGGCAAACCAGCAUUCAGCCUCAUCUUCUCCUUUCCUCCCCUGCCUCAUCAGCCAGCCUGCAUGAGCCUCUACAUUUGUUCCUGGCUUCUUCAUGGAACUUGGUCUACAGCCACAAAGCAAACCACAGGGCCAGUGACAGAGAAGGCAGAGGGGAGUGUGGAGUGGGAAGCACCUAACCUGUUCUCAAGGAGGGGAAUGAUUGGCCAAGAUGAGCUUCAAUCGUAUGUCCACUACCUCCUGGCCUGACACUUGGCUGUGAGUCCUUUCUGGGCAGUGUCCAGGGGCGGUUCCAGUGACCAGGCAGGUGCUGAGAAGCACAGGCAGCAGGAUGAGGGGACACUUGCCAGGAGACAGCGUGGGAUGCCAUUGCCUAGAGUUGGCAGAAGGACCAGGAGCAGGCAGGCAGCGAGAGGGCACCCAGAGUGCUCCUGAUCGGACCAAGCUGCAUGGAGGCCACAGUGGGACACCUGAGGGAAAAUGUGACCCCAGAUGAGGUUCAUCAGAACCAGAUAUUGUGUGAACUGUCAAACUAGACCAAGAAGCAUGGAGGCUACAGAGGGACACCCCAGGGAGGUGACCCUGGAUGAGAUUCAUCAGAACUAGAUCUUGUGAGAACUGCCUGACCAGACCAAGCAGCACGGAGGCCACGGUGAGACACAUGAGGGAGAAGGCGAACCCAGAUAAGGUUCAUCGGGAACAGAUCUUGUGGGAACUGCAGAAGGUGACCACAGAUGAGGCUCAUCAGGAACAGAUCUUGUGGGAACCGGAGAGGACAACCCCAGAUGAGGUCCAUCAGAACCAGAUCUUGAGGAAACUGCACUUCAAAGUGCUACAGACCCACAAACAGUACAUGCAGUAUCACAUGAAUGCCCUCUGCAAGGGUGAGAGGCCUGGCAGGAUGGAGGAAAUACCAGAGAUGGGGGAUGCGCCCUGAAAAAAAGGAGAGCCCUGGGGACUGUGGAAAGUGGGGUGUGGGGCUCAUUAAAGGAGAAGAUACCUUCUCACACCCUACCCCUUUUAUAGACUUUAGGAGCAAUGUCUUUGGAGGGGGCCUCACCUACAUCACAUCAGAUGCAUUAAAUAUAUUAAAAAGCAUUCAAAUCUCA